rnacentral:rRNA from 1 species
GAUGAACGCUGGCGGCGUGCCUAAUACAUGCAAGUCGAGCGAACAGACGAGGAGCUUGCUCCUCUGACGUUAGCGGCGGACGGGUGAGUAACACGUGGAUAACCUACCUAUAAGACUGGGAUAACUUCGGGAAACCGGUGCUAAUACCGGAUAAUAUAUUGAACCGCAUGGUUCAAUAGUGAAAGACGGUUUUGCUGUCACUUAUAGAUGGAUCCGCGCCGCAUUAGCUAGUUGGUAAGGUAACGGCUUACCAAGGCGACGAUGCGUAGCCGACCUGAGAGGGUGAUCGGCCACACGGGAACGGAGACACGGUCCAGACUCCUACGGGAGGCAGCAGUAGGGAAUCUUCCGCAAGGGGCGAAAGCCUGACGGAGCAACGCCGCGUGAGUGAUGAAGGGCUUCGGAUCGUAAAACUCUGUUAUUAGGGAAGAACAAAUGUGUAAGUAACUAUGCACGUCUUGACGGUAGCUAAACAGAAAGCCACGGCUAACUACGUG